UGGUUAAGCUACUAGAACACAACGAGGAUUCCUAGGCGCUAGGGGCCGAUGAAGGACGUGGCCAAACACGAAACUGCCUCGGGGAGCUGUAAGCAAGCUUUUAUCCGGGGGUGGCCGGAUGGGGGAACCCAGCUGGG
rnacentral:rRNA from 1 species